GUAGCUGCAGGAAAAGAAAUCAACCGAGAUUCCCAAAGUAGCGGCGAGCGAAAUGGGAAGAGCCUGUACGUGAUAGUCGGACCGAUAACAGAAUCCUCUGGAAAUAGGAGCCAUAGUGGGUGAUAGCCCCGUAUGUGAAAUCGGACCGGUGGUACUAAGCGUACGACAAGUAGGGCGGGACACGUGACAUCCUGUCUGAAUAUGGGGGGACCAUCCUCCAAGGCUAAAUACUCG
rnacentral:rRNA from 1 species